CUCUUGUUCACAUACUACUUACUACAUACUGAAUUUUGGACAUAUCAGUACGUACUGCUAGUAUAGUAGGCGAUUUCGGAAACAGCCAGGGACUGGACUUCUUUCGAAAGUCUGCUUGUCAACUCGGUUUGUUGACGUGCAGGACUCGAGCCAUGGAGCAGAUUAACUUUAUGAAAGUCAUUAAAACGCUGGAGUAUCUGAGGAAGCACGCCGAAUGAAAGGGGAAAGUCUCCGGGACACAUACAUGUGGGAGAGAGGGAGAUGAAGCCAGAGGAAGAGUCUGCAGCUGGUCGGAUAAAUAACGUGACGCCCGUCUCUUCCGCAUCCCUCCGUAAACAGAGAGAGGCGAGCGGUGAAGCCAGGAGAGAGGAAGGCCGCCGAUGACAGACCAGGACCAGGGGAAGAACGGACCCCUUGGGACAGAGCAGGACGAGCGGAGGACCAGAGAACAGAUACAGAAAGAGGGGAGGCAUCUGGAACCUCACAGUCUAUCACAGGGUGAAAGAUGACAAGGAAACCCACCAGAGAGGAGAGUGAUGCUGCCUCUGCAAGCUUUGAGGAGGCCUAAUCUGCCAGCCACCUAGCUUUUUGUCAGACACCCUGGUCCCCCCCAUGCAAAGGAUGCUGCCCCACCCAAAGGAAUGUUAUAUUCCAAAUCAUAAACUAAUUUAUAAAUCAGGCAAUGUGUUACUUAAUGUGGAAACAUUUGAACAAGGUAACUGAGGCAACAGUCUUUGUAGGGACUGAGUCAGGUUUCCCAUCAUCUAUUUUUUAUCUUUCCCCCAAACACAGGCACAUCUCAUAUCCUCAUCAUUCCACUUGUGUUGGUCAACAGUUCAAAGGUGUCUUUGUUUUUUAUAAAGUCUGCUAAAUAAAGGCACUGAAUGUUGGUCAAAAUAA